CCAGAAGUUCAUGAAAAAACAAUCAAGGAAACAGAUGUAAUGAGUAGAGAUACUAUAGCAUGUCCAGUCUUAUAAGAAACCAGAAUCUUGAUUCCAAUAGGACAUGAGAGCACAAGUCUGGGGGGGUAUCAAAUAAGUAACCAGAGUUAACAUUUAUAUGAAAAAAGCAUGUAAUUAUGCACUUACUAUGUGUAAAGCACUAUUCUAAUGCUGGGGAUAUAAAUGGAAAAGUUAGCUAUUCCCUACUCCUAAGGAACUCAUAUUCUAUUGGAAGAUAUGGAUGGUUUCAUCUGAAAGUCAAAAGGAAAAGUCUCAGGGUCCUUACAAUGCCAAGUCAAAAUAAAAGAACAUAUCCUUGUGUCUCAGCAUCUCAUUGUCCCUGUCACAGAAAAUAUCAUCCAGGAGGCAGACAUGUUCAUCCAAAUUAUGUCUUUCAUGGUUCUACCUUUCAAUACACUCUCUGGAGGUAACAUUCACAGUUUAUUCUUCAAGAAUUAAAUCUAUAGUUAUGUAUGAUAGUUCUUUGUCCAUUCCAUUUUGCUGUUCUUUUGCUAGUUCUUUCCAAGUUUUAUUAAAAUUAGGCUGCUCAUCGUUUCUUAUGGCACAGUAGCAUUCUAUCACAAUCAUAUAAUACAAUUUAUUUAAUCAUUCUUCAAUUAAUGGACAUCCCCUC
rnacentral:lncRNA from 1 species